ACCAUCCCUAGAAGCUUUGCAGGUAUGGCUGCUAUGUCACAUGCAUAUCUGUAGGUGGCAGAGAGGAGAGAAGCUAUGUCCACACUCAAUAUUCUGACCUGUGAACAGCAAAUGAUUAGUAGCCUAGCAAA